CAAUAGCGUAUAUUUAAGUUGCUGCAGCUAAAAAGCUCGUAGUUGGAUUUCGGGUGGGAAUGGCCGGUCCGCCGUUUCGGUGUGCACUUGCUACGCCCACCUUGCUGCCGGGGACGUGCUCUUGAGUUCACGCUCGGGACACGGAGUCGGCGAGGUUACUUUGAGUAAAUUAGAGUGUUCAAAGCAGGCCUACGCUCUGAAUACAUUAGCAUGGAAUAACACGAUAGGACUCUGGCCUAUCUUGUUGGUCUGUAGGACCGGAGUAAUGAUUAAGAGGGACAGUCGGGGGCAUUCGUAUUUCAUUGUCAGAGGUGAAACUCUUGGAUUUAUGAAAGACGAACUACUGCGAAAGCAUUUGCCAAGGAUGUUUUCAUUAA
rnacentral:rRNA from 1 species